GCAAAAGCCCACUCAUGACAAAGCCCAGACAUUGGAGCCCAUUGCCCACGUCUGCCUCUCUCGUCGUCCAGGUCGCCCUGUCUCGAGCUCGAAGCCGCCGCACGCCGCCGCUGAAUACCUGAAUCCCGAUCCCUCCUUCCGAGCUCCGACUGCUCCCGGCUCCACUUCGGACCUGCCGCGCCCACCUUGCCAGCAAGCUCCCCCACCUCCAGCGACUGGCGCCGAUGCGGCGUCUCCCUGACUCCGUCCCCGCACCACCUGCACCUUCUGCUCCAGCGCGGCAGCGCCUGGCAACCUCUUCCAUGCCGGCCUCGGUGGAGCUGAUACACGAGGCACGGAGGCGGAGGAGAGAGGGCUGGCAGAGAGUGCGUGGACUUCGUUCGGUGAGGUGGCCGGUUGACGCUGCUCCUGCUCGACAGCUCGAGCAAGAUGUUUUCACAACACUGCAGAGAAUCAUUUGUGUUCAUGGACUGCAUCGCUAGAGGAAGUACAACGUAGGUGUGCAACACUGAAUUAAUAUUUAUUAGAAAAUGAAGCAAUUUUUUGGAUUGAGCAUGAAGAAAAAGGUUGGGAUCAACUAAACAAAGUGAAGAGUUUAAAUCCAAAUUGAUAAUAUCUCGG